rnacentral:lncRNA from 1 species
UUUCCAAUUCGUCAUGAUGCUGCAGCCUUCUUCGUAAGCUCGCCGCCGACCGUCCUUCGCAAGAACUGGUUGCACCAUUACUUGUAUGCCUUUAUGACCUCCACUAGGACCUCUUUAGGAACCCUUUUUCAAAAUAUCUCACCACACCAAAAAUCAAAUCAUAUGUUCAACACUUGAACAACCUGAUUUUAGGACAAGCAUCUCAUGCUUUCUUUUUUCUUUCUUCCCUUUCUUUCUAUUUUUUCUCUUCUUUUUCCCUUAU